rnacentral:misc_RNA from 1 species
GCCGGCUACAUCGGAGAUCGGAGAUGGGUAGUUUGGGGCAGCUUCCAAUUUGGGCAUCGAAGCCUUGUAUCAUGGGUAUUGACGAAGCUGGUCGCGGUCCUGUUUUAGGGCCAAUGGUGUAUGGAUGCCUGUAUUGUGCACGCUCAUACCAGAAGACUCUUUCCACUUUACAGUUUGCAGACUCGAAGACUUUGAAAGAAGAGAAGAGGGAAGAACUAUUCGAGGAAUUAAAGACAAAUGAAUCCAUCGGAUGGGCUGUUGAUGUGAUAGAUCCUAG